UACGGGGGGGGCAAGCGUUGUUCGGAAUUACUGGGCGUAAAGCGCGUGUAGGCGGCUCGAUAAGUCGGAUGUGAAAGCCCUGGGCUCAACCUAGGAAGUGCAUUCGAAACUGCUGAGCUUGAGUUCUGGAGAGGAAGGCGGAAUUCUCGGUGUAGAGGUGAAAUUCGUAGAUAUCGAGAGGAACACCGGUGGCGAAGGCGGCCUUCUGGACAGCAACUGACGCUGAGACGCGAAAGCGUGGGGAGCAAACAGG
rnacentral:rRNA from 1 species